UACCAGCACCCCGAGUGGUCGGGACGAUUAUUGGGCCUAAAGCAUCCGUAGCCGGUCCUGCAAGUCUUCCGUUAAAUCCAGCUGCUCAACAGAUGGGCUGCGGAGGAUACUACAGGGCUAGGAGGCGGGAGAGGCAAGCGGUACUUUAUGGGUAGGGGUAAAAUCCGUUGAUCCGUAGAAGACCACCAGUGGCGAAGGCGGCUUGCCAGAACGCGCUCGACGGUGAGGGAUGAAAGCUGGGGGAGCAAACCGG
rnacentral:rRNA from 1 species